UUUUAAAGGGGCCGCCCUUGCCCAGAAAUGUGUCAAUCGUAGGUCCCACGGUUGUGCGUUCAGUCAUCAUGGAACCGCCGGUAACGGUUGUGUGUGCUUUAUAUGCGCUACAGUCAAGAAUGAUUGCAUUUCAUAUCUUGGCUAGAAGAGAACGCAUCCGCAGACAUCGAAUGCUAGCCAUCCGACGAUAUUAGCUAAAUUGAAAAUUACAAUGUAUAAGUGUGAUGUCAGGGAAAGUUGUAUGCGCUAGAUAACGUUUCCAAAAGCUAACCAAACAAAAACAUAAUUACUUUUACGAUACGUGCUUGUGCCAUCAUGUGCAUUAGUAGCACAAUUUCUAACUUAUUUACAUUCAUUUUUACUUACACUUUUAUGUUGACUUCUCCAUAUUGACGUUGGUUUUAUGUUUUGGCAGACUUUUCUUAGCGGAUGUACAAUCAUCGCAAAUUGAAUUAUGGGGCGUUUCAGGCCAUGGAGUGAACAGAUUUGUACACUCGCACACUCGAUCAAGAACGAGGGCUGAGCGGCUUAGGUUGCCAACUUCCCUUGCUUGGCUAAUCGUUUGGACCAAUGGCAAAAAUGGCCGCGGGGAUUCCCCCAAGGGCAUAUGGCGAGGGUGUGUCUUUGAUGUGUUUGAAACGCAGCCUUAGUGUUGCUGAGAAGACGCUGAUCAUGUGAUGAGUUCACAAAUCAAAUGCCCCACUUGUGCUGCAACUGGACAGCGAAAAACAAGUUGGAACCAACAUGCAGUACCUCCAGCAGCAAGAGUGGCAAUAACCAUUCGUUUGCCAGCUCAGGGACAAGCUACACUAUUCACAGCCCUGUGUAAUGUUCAAUGUAAUUUAAUUGCUGGAAUUGUAGAAACUUAAUGUACUUGUAUUGUUUGAAAAAUGUAAAAAUAAAAAGGAAAUGUACGGUUUAA